GCAAUUUGAAAAGUGUCUCUCGCUCGGAUUCGAACCUGGGACGAAUUUGAAUUCCCAGCGCGCGCUUCCUAAAACGACAUCGUAUUAGCUUAACCCUAGCGCCCAACAAUUCCAGAUUUCGUAGCAAACAGAUGAAUUUUUCCUAGCUAAAUGGUAGCGAAAUCCUAGCAGUUCUGGAAACAACAUGAAGCUCAUACGUGG
rnacentral:lncRNA from 1 species